rnacentral:misc_RNA from 1 species
AAGUCGUAACAAGGUUUCCGUAGGUGAACCUGCGGAAGGAUCAUUAACACGUAUCCAACCUUACCAACCAAACCAGAGAAUAUUGUUCCGCUGUGUAGGAGAGAGCAAUGCAUGAUCCGAGUCGCGCGGCAGGAGCUCUCGUUGUGAGGCCUUGUGGUUUCACAGCGAUCUCUUGAGAACGCGGACAUGCAGUCGCGGGAACCCUAGCCUACACAGCACCAUCCGCGUUUUUUACAACAGUAUUUUAAAAACCACAAUGGACCUAGAGAGCUUCGUGCUUUCGGUUCGUUGUAAAACAAACUAAGUACAACUCUUAGCAACGGAUAUCUUGGCUCUC